GGCCAGGACGCCACUGAUUCCACCCACAAAGGGCAGCCUCCUGCAGCUCCGGCAGUGGUGAAAAGGAGCCACAGUGCCUGAUAGGAGCAUAAAGAAAUUAUGUGGCACCAGGGUAGCCAUCUCAGGAAAGACUCUGUGUCUUCCUGCCCUGCUCUGCCCUGCUGGAAGGUUCCCUGGCUCACUUAUAACCACUGACAAUCAGCGGUGGUUUCCAUGGCAUAGCAAACAUGCCCAAAUGUCCUCCUCAGAUGGAAGAACCAAGGGGCAAAAGGCCGGAUUGGUAGGGCCUACCGAUUCUCACGGCCCCUUUCAAGAGCCACUGUGAGCCUCUAACGUUAGAGACUGGCUCUUGCUCAUGGCUUUGUCUCCAACUCCUUUUCCUAGUGUUGGGUGGCUAUUACAUGGCACAGAAUGCUUACUGAGUUAAUAAGCAAGUGAAUAAAUGGACAAGUGUGGGGUUUUUUUUCCUCCUUAAAAUAGCCUUUAAGCAGAGUAAUGGCAUGUCCUGGAAUUUCUAGAGCAUCCUCAUUGCAAAUAUCCUCCCUCAUGUUCCCACGUAAGGACACUGACAUUUGACGGACCCACCCUGGAACCAAUUUUGUGCGUCCAAAGGAAAGUACAAAAAUCAAUUACCGAAGAAGGAUUAUCUUUGUAUUGCAACCUCUUGCCUUCCGGAGUAAUUCACAAAUCAUUAUAGACCACCACUUUCACAGAAACAGACUCUUCCUCUCUUUCCCAAUAGAUUUUUCCUUCCAAAAAAGGAGAACAUGACAACCUGUUUCUCGGAAGGGAAGAAACGUCUUUGUUUUACUGUUAUUUCCAUUUGAACCCACGGUGCUUCCCUAUUUCGAUCUUUACAAACUAAGUUGUCAGAUUUAGCCAGUUUAUAAGAUGAGUUAAGGAGAAACAAAGGUCCUCAUAUGGCCUGUUAUAAAGCCAUUUUUUUAUUUUAUUAGUCACAUUAGCAUUCUGUUGCCCUUUAAAUGUCACAAGUUCAAGAGCACAGCCAUAUGCAUCCGGAAAUAUUUCUUCUCGUUGGAAUAAAACAUGAGGAUACAAUUUCCUAGGACACAGAGAAGAUGACAGAGAAAUAACAAAAUAAGAGUCAAAAUGUGUUGGAUACUGUUACAGAUAAGAAGCUGGGUCAUUUUUCCGUCAAACUUUGUCAUUGUUCUAACCCUGAGCUAGUCGAGAAAUAGUUUAGUUUGUUUGUUGUUACUUGCUGUUGUUGUUUUUGUCAUCUAAACCAUAAUGAAAAACGGAAUUUGUCCCUUCCAAGAUGUGCAGAAAUAAAAGAGACAUUCCUUCUUUCUAAAUAAAGGGAGGAAGUCACGUCAUGAUGAAUAGUAUUCUGAAAAAAUUGCUUUUGAUCUACUAACAAUCUGAAUAUUACUCCCAACAUUACAUUAUUGUAGUUACAGAUAAGCUGGCGGCUAUAAUAAUCUCCGUAUUGCAAAACCUAGAGUGAGCUAAAGCAGUACAGUAGACUGAUGAAAAAAUGAUGCACAGAGUUCCGGCUGUGGCACAGUGGGUUAAGAACUCCACUGCAGCAGCUCAGGUCUCUGCGGAGGUGCAGGUUUGACCCAGUGGGUUAAGGAUCUGGUGUUGCCUCAGCUGUGGUGUAGAUUGCAGCUACAGCUCAGAUUCAAUCCCUAGUCCAUUCAGUCCCUGGCCCUGGAAACUUCCACAUGCCACAGGUGCGGCCAUUAAAAAAAGUUGAGAAAGGGGAAAGAGUAAAGAACCAGUUCUUUCUGAUUUUUCUGACGUCUUAAAUCCGUAUUUAGGCCCUGUAACAACAGGGUAAAAUGCAAGUUUCACCAAUAUUUUCAAUGGCUGAGCCCCAAGAAAGCACAUACAAAAGAUUUCUUCCUUUGUGCUGCUCUUCCUAUCAUAAUUUUUAGCAUUUUCUAAAAUUUUGAAUGCUUCUUCCUCCAUGUUUCUUUUCCCAUCUAUCUCUAGAUCUUUUCAGCUCUCCUUCCAAAGUACUUCUCUAACCGGUCUUCUUUCGUUUCCCAUGUCUUCCAUAAUUUUCAUGGUUUGCUAGUCAUUUCCUUUCCUUUGAGCUUUUCAAUUUAUUUUUCUGACUUCUGACUCUUUCCUUGCUCUUUCACCUACUGCUCAGUAAUCAAACUAACUACCUGAGGCAUAAAUCUAGGCCUGUGUUUCUCUUGAUAAAUAAUACUCUGUUUCUCCCUAACACUUAUAUUGAUGAUUCCCAAACUGUGGGGAGAAAAGAAACUUACCUAUACAUUCCCAAAAUCAGGGUGUAAAAGAAAUAGCAAUCACUAUGUGUUCCACGGAUCAAAGAGUUCACUUCUUAGGACAGAAUUAAAAAACAAACAAACAAAAAAACCUAGCUUCAGCAAUACAAUAAAUUUAUUCCUUUAACUAUCCAAGAAAAAACGUAACGAGUGAAGAUUAAGAACCAGAGAAUCUGUGACGCUUUCAUCCAUGACUUCCCCUCUCUGCACAGCAACGCUACUGUCUCCUUUCACAGUUUUCUUUCUCCAAAGGCUGAAACAGCACUUUCUAGAAGCUCCUGGACCCACACUUUCAAAGAGUUGCACAGGAGAGGAAAAUAUUUUUCUCUCUGGUUCUUGGCUUCCAACCUGGGAAAAAUUCUGAUUGGCUGGCCUAGGGAGUGAGGUGCUCUGAUUGGCAGUUCCCACUCAGGUCCCCUGGUUGGAGACGAGGUCCCAGUGGUUUCUGAAAGUUACAUUCCUCUAUGGGGAGGGGAGUCGGUGCUCUUGAUUUUGCAAAACAAAAGACAUCUAUUGUGGAGGCGGGCUUGAGAUUCUCUAUGUUAAGUCCUUUUAGGGGGAUAUUCAGUUCUCAACAUAGAGCAUCAGUUUUUGACUCUCUCUCCUGCAGGAAAAAAAAAAAAAAUACCUAAAAUCUGGAAAACUGCAGAAAAUAACACUUUAAAAAACUUUGAAGAGUGGCCAACAUAGGCAAGGAUUGAGAGGUUCUGAUCCUCUAAGAAAGGAAGUACAGGAGUUCCCGUCGUGGCUCAGCGGAAACGAAUCUGACUAGCAUCCAUGAGGAUGCAGGUUCCAUCCCUGGCCUCGCUCAGUGGGUUAAGGAUCUGGUGUUGCUGUGAGCUGUGGUGUAGGUUGCAGACAUGGCUAGGAUCCCAUGUUGCUGUAGCUGUGGUGUAGGCUGGUGGCUACAACUGUGAUUCAACUCCUAGGCUGGGAACCUACAUAUGCAGUUGGGUAUGGCCCUAAAAAGAUGAAAAGAAGGAAGGAAAGAAGGAAAGAAGGAAGGAAAAUUUUAAAAAAGGAAAGAAAAGAAGUACAAUGAGGGGUGCCUCCCAUUCACCCCUAUCGCUUUUACUGAAAACAUUUGCCGUGUUCUGCACAGAGGAGUAGAAUGCCAGCAGAAGGCCACCAGAGGCUGAAGUUCAGGCCAAGGCAGAGCAGUGUUAGUAAACACACCAGAAGGUCCACCUUCUCAGAAUAAGGGCAAAACUGAAAUAGGUCAGUAAAGUUGAAAUAACAAAGCUAAAAAUAAUCCUCAGCAGAAUUUGAGUGAUUCCUUACGCUCUAUGUAUAUUGUCAAAAAAGAAAUGAUGGAAGACCGCCUAAUCCAGAGGCUCUAAUUUUAUUUUCAUUUUAAGCAGGUUUAUUGAGAUAUAGCUUAUAUGUCAUAAAAUUCACCCAUUUAAAAUAAAGAGUUCAAUGGUUUCUUGGAUUCACAAAACUGUACAGCCAUCACCAUAUCUGAUUUUAGAGUAGUUUCAUCAUCUCAUCCCUCAAAAAUCAGUCACUCCCAAAUCCCCCCCUUUCCCAGUCCCUGGAAAGCACCAAUUUACUUUCCCUAUGUAUUUGCCUCUUCUGGACAUUUCAUUUAGGUGGAAUCAUGUGAUAUAUUGCCUUUUGUGAUAUACCCACAAGUGCAGUUUCAGGGUCCUAUGGUAACUAUGCGUGUCCUUUUGAAAAUUGCUAAAUAACUUUCCCAAGAGCUGGGACAUUUUGCAUUCCCACCAGCGGUGUAUGAGGGUUGGAAUCUCUUCCCAUCCUGGCCACCAGGUGUUAUUCUUUAUCGUUAUUUAUCGUAGCCAUCCUAUGUAAAGUAUAUGAUGUAUCAUCACGUUGUGAUUUUUAUCUUGCCUUCUCCCAAUGACUAAUGAUAUUGUGUAAUGUUCUCUUCAUUUAUUAGUCACUUGCAUAUCUCCCUUGAAGAAAUACCUGUUGAAUAGAUACUUAUUUUAAUUGCUUUGCACAUUGCUGACCUCAUUAGUUCUACUAGUUUUACUGUGGAAUCCUUAAAAUUUUCCAUACGCAAGAUCAUAUAAUCUACAAAUACAGAGAGUCAUACAUCUUCCUGCAUAAACUUGAUGAUUCCUAUUCCUUUUUCUUGCCUAAUUGCACUGACCAGAACCUUCAAUGCAAUGUUGAAUAGAAGUAGUGAGAGCAGGCAUAUUUGUCUCAUUCUUGGUAUUAGAGGAAAGCAUUCAGUGUUUUUCCAUUGAGUAUAUUAGUUGUGAGACUUUCCCAGAUGUCUUUAUCAGGUUAAGAAAAUUCUCUCUAUUCCUAGUUUAUUGAGUGCUUUUAUCAUAAAAGCAUAUUAGGUUUUCGUCAAAUGAUUUUUUUGUGUCUAUUGAGAUGUUCAUGUGGUUUUG
rnacentral:lncRNA from 1 species